rnacentral:rRNA from 1 species
GACGAACGCUGGCGGCGUGCUUAACACAUGCAAGUCGAACGGUGAAGCGCCUUCCUUUUUGGUGGGUGUGGAUGAGUGGCGAACGGGUGAGUAACACGUGAGUAACCUGCCCCCCUCUUCUGGAUAACCGCAUGAAAGUGUGGCUAAUACGGGAUAUUCUGGGUCUGUCGCAUGAUGGGUCUGGGAAAGAUAUUGUUUCGGUGGGGGAUGGGCUCGCGGCCUAUCAGCUUGUUGGUGGGGUGAUGGCCUACCAAGGCGGUGACGGGUAGCCGGCCUGGGAGGGUGGACGGUCACACUGGGACUGAGACACGGCCCAGACUCCUACGGGAGGCAGCAGUGGGGAAUAUUGCACAAUGGGCGCAAGCCUGAUGCAGCGACGCCGCGUGAGGGAUGGAGGCCGUCGGGUUGUGAACCUCUUUCGCCAGUGAAGCAGGCCUGCCUCGUUUGUGGGUGGGUUGACGGUAGCUGGAUAAGAAGCGCCGGCUAACUACGUG